CAUGAUAGUUUUUCCAAAUGACUUAAUGAGGCAGUGGAUAAAAGAUGCAAGUGAUUUGGUGUCUAAGCGGAGAAAACGUACUGCUCUAGAUGCAAGGAAGAUUCAUCGGGUUUUCAAUCUUUCCCAGAGUUUCUCAGAGGCUUCGGUUCCUUGCACCUCGGAGCUUAAAUAUCUCUAC